GACGAACGCUGGCGGCGUGCUUAACACAUGCAAGUCGUACGGUAAGGCCCUUUCGGGGGUACACGAGUGGCGAACGGGUGAGUAACACGUGAGUAACCUGCCCACAACUUUGGGAUAACGCUAGGAAACUGGUGCUAAUACUGGAUAUGUGCUCCUGCUGCAUGGUGGGGGUUGGAAAGCUCCGGCGGUUGUGGAUGGACUCGCGGCCUAUCAGCUUGUUGGUGGGGUAGUGGCCUACCAAGGCGGCGGCGGGUAGCCGGCCUGAGAGGGUGACCGGCCACAUUGGGACUGAGAUACGGCCCAGACUCCUACGGGGGGCAGCGGUGGGGAAUAUUGCACAAUGGGCGCAAGCCUGAUGCAGCAACGCCGCGUGCGGGAUGACGGCCUUCGGGUUGUAAACCGGUUUCAGCAGGGACGAAGCUUUUUGUGACGGUACCUGCAGAAGAAGCACCGGCUAACUACGUG
rnacentral:rRNA from 1 species